rnacentral:rRNA from 1 species
GACGAACGCUGGCGGCGUGCUUAACACAUGCAAGUCGAACGGAAAGGCCCUGCUUUUGUGGGGUGCUCGAGUGGCGAACGGGUGAGUAACACGUGAGUAACCUGCCCUUGACUUUGGGAUAACUUCAGGAAACUGGGGCUAAUACCGGAUAGGAGCUCCUGCUGCAUGGUGGGGGUUGGAAAGUUUCGGCGGUUGGGGAUGGACUCGCGGCUUAUCAGCUUGUUGGUGGGGUAGUGGCUUACCAAGGCUUUGACGGGUAGCCGGCCUGAGAGGGUGACCGGCCACAUUGGGACUGAGAUACGGCCCAGACUCCUACGGGAGGCAGCAGUGGGGAAUAUUGCACAAUGGGCGGAAGCAUGAUGCAGCAACGCCGCGUGCGGGAGGACGGCAUUCGGGUUGUAAACCGCUUUCGCCUGUGACGAAGCGUGAGUGACGGUAAUGGGUAAAGAAGCACCGGCUAACUACGU